rnacentral:rRNA from 1 species
AUGUGAUUUCUGCCCAGAGCUCUGAAAGUCAAAGUAAAGAAAUUCAAUAAAGUGAGGGUAACAGGGAGUAAAGAUGACUUUCAAGGUAGCCAAAUGCCUCACCAUCUAAAUAAUGACGCCCAUCAAUGAACAAACAAGAUUCCCACUGUCCCAUCUCCUAUCCAGUGAAACACAGCCAA